rnacentral:miRNA from 1 species
AGACAUCAUUCUAAGUGAACUAACACAUACAUACAUAUAUGGGUAUAUAUAUAUGUGUGUGUGUGUAUGUGUAUAUAUAUACAUAUAUAUGUAUACGUAUACAUAUGUGCAUAUACAUAUA